rnacentral:rRNA from 1 species
CGAGUGGCGAACGGGUGAGUAACGCGUGAGGAACCUGCCUCAAAGGGGGGACGGGAACAAGUUAGGUAACGGAACUCGCUAAUACCGCAUAAGCCCACGGGUCGGCAUCGACCAGAGGGAAAAGGAGCAAUCCGCUUUGAGAUGGCCUCGCGUCCGAUUAGCUAGUUGGUGAGGUAAUGGCCCACCAAGGCAACGAUCGGUAGCCGGACUGAGAGGUUGAACGGCCACAUUGGGACUGAGACACGGCCCAGACUCCUACGGGAGGCAGCAUG